GACGAACCGAGCGAACGUUGUUCGGAAUCACUGGGCUUAAAGGGCGCGUAGGCGGGCUGCCGCGUCCGGGGUGAAAUCCCACGGCUCAACCGUGGAACGGCCCCGGGUACGGGCGGCCUCGAGGGGGGUAGGGGCGUGCGGAACUGUGGGUGGAGCGGUGAAAUGCGUUGAGAUCCACAGGAACUCCGGUGGCGAAGGCGGCACGCUGGACCCCUUCUGACGCUGAGGCGCGAAAGCCAGGGGAGCGAACGGG
rnacentral:rRNA from 1 species